UACGGAGGGGGCUAGCGUUGUUCGGAAUUACUGGGCGUAAAGCGCGCGUAGGCGGACCUGCAAGUCGGGGGUGAAAGCCCGAGGCUCAACCUCGGAACUGCCUUCGAUACUGCGGGUCUCGAGUCCGGGAGAGGUGAGUGGAAUUCCUAGUGUAGAGGUGAAAUUCGUAGAUAUUAGGAAGAACACCAGUGGCGAAGGCGACCACCUGGACUGAUACUGACACUGAGGUGCGAAAGCGUGGGGAGCAAACAGG
rnacentral:rRNA from 1 species